rnacentral:rRNA from 1 species
CAGGCUUAACACAUGCAAGUCGAGGGGCAGCAUGGUCUUAGCUUGCUAAGGCCGAUGGCGACCGGCGCACGGGUGAGUAACACGUAUCCAACCUGCCGUCUACUCUUGGACAGCCUUCUGAAAGGAAGAUUAAUACAAGAUGGCAUCAUGAGUCCGCAUGUUCACAUGAUUAAAGGUAUUCCGGUAGACGAUGGGGAUGCGUUCCAUUAGAUAGUAGGCGGGGUAACGGCCCACCUAGUCUUCGAUGGAUAGGGGUUCUGAGAGGAUGGUCCCCCACAUUGGAACUGAGACACGGUCCAAACUCCUACGGGAGGCAGCAGUGAGGAAUAUUGGUCAAUGGGCGAGAGCCUGAACCAGCCAAGUAGCGUGAAGGAUGACUGCCCUAUGGGUUGUAAACUUCUUUUAUAAAGGAAUAAAGUCGGGUAUGGAUACCCGUUUGCAUGUACUUUAUGAAUAAGGAUCGGCUAACUCCGUGCCAGCAGCCGCGGUAAUACGGAGGAUCCGAGCGUUAUCCGGAUUUAUUGGGUUUAAAGGGAGCGUAGAUGGAUGUUUAAGUCAGUUGUGAAAGUUUGCGGCUCAACCGUAAAAUUGCAGUUGAUACUGGAUAUCUUGAGUGCAGUUGAGGCAGGCGGAAUUCGUGGUGUAGCGGUGAAAUGCUUAGAUAUCACGAAGAACUCCGAUUGCGAAGGCAGCCUGCUAAGCUGCAACUGACAUUGAGGCUCGAAAGUGUGGGUAUCAAACAGGAUUAGAUACCCUGGUAGUCCACACGGUAAACGAUGAAUACUCGCUGCUUGCGAUAUACUGCAAGCGGCCAAGCGAAAGCGUUAAGUAUUCCACCUGGGGAGUACGCCGGCAACGGUGAAACUCAAAGGAAUUGACGGGGGCCCGCACAAGCGGAGGAACAUGUGGUUUAAUUCGAUGAUACGCGAGGAACCUUACCCGGGCUUAAAUUGCAGAUGAAUUACGGUGAAAGCCGUAAGCCGCAAGGCAUCUGUGAAGGUGCUGCAUGGUUGUCGUCAGCUCGUGCCGUGAGGUGUCGGCUUAAGUGCCAUAACGAGCGCAACCCUUGUUGUCAGUUACUAACAGGUUCCGCUGAGGACUCUGACAAGACUGCCAUCGUAAGAUGUGAGGAAGGUGGGGAUGACGUCAAAUCAGCACGGCCCUUACGUCCGGGGCUACACACGUGUUACAAUGGGGGGUACAGAGGGCCGCUACCACGCGAGUGGAUGCCAAUCCCCAAAACCUCUCUCAGUUCGGACUGGAGUCUGCAACCCGACUCCACGAAGCUGGAUUCGCUAGUAAUCGCGCAUCAGCCACGGCGCGGUGAAUACGUUCCCGGGCCUUGUACACACCGCCCGUCAAGCCAUGGGAGCCGGGGGUACCUGAAGUGCGUAACCGCGAGGAGUGCCCUAGGGUAAAACUGGUGACUGGGGCUAAGUCGU